rnacentral:lncRNA from 1 species
GUAGACAAUGAGCUCAAGGAGAAGUCGCGAGCGUGAAAAGACAAGGUUGCGCAUGGACGAGUACAGUGGGAAGUCUAGUGGUCGCAGAGGACUGGUAAUAAUACAUGCUGAAAUUCCUCUCAGUUAAAUUCAUUCCCACAACACACACAGGGUACCUCUUCAAGAGUUUGGUUCCCUCGUUGCAAGUAAAUGCAGGAAGGAAGAAGGAAAUACACAUUAAUUCUGCAAGUAGAAAAAAAUUCAGGAACUAUUUUAUUGCUAAUGAGUGGGUACUCAUAUGUUAAGAGCCGAAAAAGAUAUUAAGUGUGAAUGCAAUAAAAUCGUUCACAAUAAAUUAGCAUGAUAUUUCAGUAAUAGUCUAUCAUCAAAAAUAGGUGUAUAAUUUAGCGAAGAUGAGGAUUCAAAAUUCUAACUAUUGUGAUAAAUCUUGUCUUUAAAUUUUUCAAAUUCCUCCAUUAGUCUUCACAAACUUACCAAAACAGUCUUUUCUAAAAUGAAGAUUUCUCCCAUGUUUUCCUAGCAUCUCCUCCAAGACGACGGGAAUUGGACAACAUGAUGAAGAAAGCACGGAAAGACAAUGGCUCUCAGAGUCAAUAUUGGAACAAAAAACUUUUGGAAGUAGAAGAAAAAGACCCUAACAGGUGGAGGCACACUGGUUUCAAAAAAUGUAUGUUGAUAAAGAAAAACGUGGGUCCUCACAUUCAAGGAGUCCGCUCAGUCCAAUGGGACGGAAUUCCUACACUCGCUCACCGCCUGGCCGUUUGCGUUCCCCAGUUCCGCGGCCCCGAUCUCCCUCAACUAAACCUCCAAGAUCUCCAAUUGCUAGAGCCAGGUCACCAGUCGCAAGAGCUAGAUCUCCAGUUCCAAGAGCGAGAUCUCCAGUUCCAAGAGCUAGAUCGCCUGUUCCAAGAGCUAGGUCGCCAGUUGCCAGAGUCAGGAAACUUUCAUCCCCUCCUGCAAGGCGGAGGUCCGAAAGUGGCAGCUCAGGUUCUCUCAGCAGCUGUUCAGAUUCCCAUUGUAGCGUUUGCUCACCGAAGCCCAAGUCUCGUGAAAGAGUACGAAAGGAACGACUCCCACCAAAAGAGCCCCGUUUGA